GGCUUGGAGAUGGCAGCGAAUUUUUGUUCCAGUGUAAAGACGAGGAAGAGCUCCAGCGUUGGAGCCAGGCCAUGGAAAAGGCCGUUCAGCCCCUGGCAGCAGAGGAGGCAUCGGGGCCCUCGGGGGCCAAAGCCCAGAGCCUGCCCCCUCCCUCCUCCUCAGCUGCACUCCCUGAGCCCAGCUCUGCCAAGAAAGACAAGGAGAAGAAGUUUAGCCGCUUUGCCAAGAAGAAGUGAAAGAGACGGGAAGGCCAUCAGGAGGAGGGGGUUGUCUAGGCAACCUGGGAAGAGAAAGUAUUGUGUACAAUCAAUCAAAGUAUGCUUUUUGUCACUAGAUUUUCUAUAUUAUUUUGUGAGAAUUACCAUAAAUAUUGUAGUUAAAGUCAUCACUCUUUUGCCUGUAUUUAAGUCAGUGUAUGUCUACAAUGGUCCACUGUUUUUGUUUGUUCUUUUUAAGAAAUGCCAAAUUCAAAGCAUUAAAUUAAAGCACAGGAAUGCUCCUCUUCACACACAACCAAAGAAUGUUUGUAAAACUUUUCAUUUUGAUAAUUUAGCUGAAGUUUUUUUGUCUUUUUUUUUUGUUUCACUAAGGCAUGCUUUGAUAUAGCCAUGUAUAACAUGAAGGCCUGUAAUGAAGAUGACUCAAGAGUACUGAAAAGUACUUUUAAUAACCUGCCUUAUCAAAUGGUUGUGAACUGUAAUACUGUGCUGUUUGAAUUUGGAGCACUAAAUGCUACGUAAAGAACCAGAGUUUAAUAAUCUUUUUUUUUUUUUUAAAGAGCUUUGUAAAUGGCAUGUAAGAUUUGGGGAUGAGAAAACCUCAGCAUAGUGCUGUACAGUAUAUACACACACACUCUCCAAGUAUAUCUGCAGUUAUGCAAACUAAAUGCUCUAUGCACUGUGAAUGAUUGACUUGAGAUUUUAAAUUGCUUACCAACAUUGCACGAGCGGUCAUGUGACACCACAAUGUGUCAGUUUUGAAUAAGGACCCAUUCAGGUUUAUUCUCAAUUGAACUGUGGCAGUGUUCAUGUCUGUCAGCUUGAAAUCUAUUUAACACUUGUGUAAACUUAAAUUUCAGAGCUAUCCAUCAACAUAUACCGUAUAUACAUAUAUAUAUAUAUAUGCAGAUGCAUGAAGUAUGCUUUACAUUAGUUUGAUACGGUGCUAUUGUCAUAUUCUUAAAACUUCAAACAAGACCAACUUGACCUGCCUUGUUUGUCUUCAACUUUGGCUUGUAGUGACACACGUAAAAAGUCUGAGGGGUGCUUCAUAAAGGUGGCUCAGAAAAGCAGUGGUUAUUCAGGUUUAUAUGCAUCAAGUAUUAAUAGCAUUUACAGUCACAGAUCAUCUUAAUUACCCUUUUAAAAUGCACAAAAAAAAAGCAGAAAUAAGCACAAUCACUGCCAUGUACAAAAGACAGCUUUUGUUAUGGAGUUGUAGGUCAGUGAUGAGCUCAGACUCACAAAAUAGGGAUCAAAUCUGCAACACUGAACUGUUCAUUUGGAGUUCUUUACCUGUAAUUAUGACUUCACGGGUUCCCGUGAGAGUAGUUUUUCUUUGUGCAGUUAAAGCUAAAACUUCAAGUGCAGUUGAAGUUUUAUUGUAACGAAAUAUAAAAAGCAAGUGUUUUUUUUUUAGAAAUCAGAACUUCUCCAUCUUUGAAUUUUACUACUUGGUUUGUGAAAACAUGAUACUGGAUAAAUGCCUUCAGGUGUGUACUUUUUAAUUACAGAAACAUGCUGACCCAAAUAAGGCUAAAUAAAAAAUAUGGGUCAAGAAGACAAAAGCACAAGCCAAGUAUUUAAUCUGACAAAUGGGUCACGAUCAAAGACAAAGUACAGGGGGUAAAUGACUACACAGAGGUGCAAAACAACUAUGAAAAUAAAAGACCAUGCAGCAGCACAACAUGAUGGGAGGUUAGGGGCUUUUUACAUGUACUGUAUUUGCCCCAGAACCCCCGUUAUGUGUUCAUGCCCAGCAGUCCUUGCUUUAUGAAACACCCCUCUAGUCUUGCAAGUUGAAUUUUAUUUAUUACACAAAUAGAAAUGCUAAAAGACGACAAAAUGUUAGCAUCAGAAUGAACUAGAAUUUAAAUCAGGUGCUGUUAUUCACAAAAGCAGUUUACAAGAGCCUGCAUCAUUAUUUGAAGUUUUAUAGAACUAGCCAAAGUCUAGAAAAGCAAAGGGUUGCAUGAGCCUUUCCUGCUUUUCCACACCACACAACAGGACCAGGCAUGCUCCCCAACCAAGGAGAGGAUCGUACAGUAGCCGUACGGAGCUGAAGGAAUGUGUUUUUAAUAUGAAUGUAAGGAGUGGAAAUAAGUUCAUAUGGGAAUUUCCAACAAUAAAGCCAUUACAGAAAUCAGCAUUUUAAU